rnacentral:rRNA from 1 species
CAGGCUGCAACUCGCCUGCAUGAAGUCGGAAUUGCUAGUAAUCGCGGAUCAGCAUGCCGCGGUGAAUACGUUCCCGGGCCUUGUACACACCGCCCGUCACACCAUGGGAGUCGGUAACACCCGAAGCCGAUAGUCUAACGAAAGAGGACGUCGUCGAAGGUGGGAUUGAUGACUGGGGUGAAGUCGUAACAAGGUAGC